AUUGAACGCUGGCGGCAUGCCUUACACGUACGAGGCACACGAACAGGUCUUCGCGUGCUGUCGCGUGGCGAACGGGGGAGUAAUACAUCUGAACGUGCCUAGAGGUGGGGGGUAACACUACGAGAGAGUGGCUAAAAUCGCGUGAGAGCUCCGCGGGAAAGCAGAGGGUCGCACGACACUGUGCUACUAUAGCGGGCGCGUGGCAGAUUAGGGAGGUGGUGGGGUAAAAGCUUACCAAGCGGAGGAGCUGUAGCUGGUCUGAGAGGAGGAUCUGCCACACUGGGACUGAGACACGGCCCAGACUCCUACGGGAGGCAGCAGUGGGGAAUUUUGGACAAUGGGCGCAAGCCUGAUCCAGCAAUGCCGCGUGCAGGAAGAAGGCCUUCGGGUUGUAAACUGCUUUUGUACGGAACGAAACGGUCUGGGUUAAUACCCUGGGCUAAUGACGGUACCGUAAGAAUAAGCACCGGCUAACUACGUGCCAGCCGCCGCCGUAAGAC
rnacentral:rRNA from 1 species